rnacentral:snRNA from 1 species
GGGUUUGGCACAGUAAUC